UACAGAGACUGCAAGCGUUAUUCGGAUUCACUGGGCGUAAAGGGUGCGCAGGCGGCCUUGUGUGUCAGGUGUGAAAUCCCGAGGCUUAACCUCGGAACUGCGCCUGAAACUACUUGGCUAGAGUACUGGAGAGGGUAACGGAAUUCACGGUGUAGCAGUGAAAUGCGUAGAUAUCGUGAGGAACACCAGAGGCGAAGGCGGUUACCUGGACAGUUACUGACGCUCAGGCACGAAAGCGUGGGGAGCAAACAGG
rnacentral:rRNA from 1 species